rnacentral:rRNA from 1 species
CCGGGGCUUCUUCUCCGGCUACCGUCAUCAUCUUCACCGGUGAAAGAGCUUUACAACCCUAAGGCCUUCUUCACUCACGCGGCAUGGCUGGAUCAGGCUUGCGCCCAUUGUCCAAUAUUCCCCA